rnacentral:rRNA from 1 species
CCUACGGGAGGCAGCAGUGAGGAAUAUUGGUCAAUGGACGAGAGUCUGAACCAGCCAAGUCGCGUGAAGGAUGACUGCCCUAUGGGUUGUAAACUUCUUUUAUAUGGGAAUAAAAUGUUCCACGUGUGGGGUUUUGUAUGUACCAGAUGAAUAAGGAUCGGCUAACUCCGUGCCAGCAGCCGCGGUAAUACGGAGGAUCCGAGCGUUAUCCGGAUUUAUUGGGUUUAAAGGGAGCGUAGGUGGAAUGUUAAGUCAGUGGUGAAAGUUUGCGGCUCAACCGUCAAAGUGCAGUUGAAACUGGCAGUCUUGAGUACAGUAGAGGUGGGCGGAAUGCGUGGUGUAGCGGUGAAAUGCAUAGAUAUCACGCAGAACUCCGAUUGUGAAGGCAGCUUACUGGCGUGCAACUGACACUGAGGCACGAAAGUGUGGGUAUCAAACAGGAUUAGAUACCCGGGUAGUC